ensembl:lncRNA
UUUCUCUCUGGUGUGGAAAGGAAACAGGAGAACUGAGACGCCAACGCCCACAUCUACAAAGCUCCAGGGCAAGCGACUCAUGCUGUCUACAAGCGCAAUAUCCCGCUGAGCCUGGCGGAACCACGAUUGUGCUGACAGUGCCUGCAGAUUUCUACUGAAACCUGGGCAAGGGAUUUUCUCCAGAUCCAGUCUGCAGGCAACCCUUCUUUCACUGGGUGUUAUUCUGCUGAGAACAUUUCCAGAACCCUCUCUGACUGGAGAAGAAACUGACUACUUUUACUGACAGUUGUUUGAAAUUAUCAUGAGCAAAAAGACAAUUCCUGUAGGCUCUAAACAGAGUCUCUCAUCUAGAAGCCUUUGGGACUUCAGUCAGCACCUCUCAAGCCCAAGUACAGCUUUCUUAUAAAAAGGACUGGAUUCUUCCUUAAAUAUCACAGUUUCUUGAAGGACAUCCACAGGACUUCUCUGUUUUCACAGAAUCAUAGAAUCAUUUAGGCUGGAAAACACCUUCAAGAUCAUCAACUCCAACCAUCAGCCUGAACUACUGAGUCCUAUCACUAAACCAUGUCCUUGUUCAAGGUUUGAGCUGGUGCCUGGUUAAGCUGCUGGGAGUCUUCUCCUUAGGAUGUCCUGUCUAUGUAUAUCCAGUCCUACAGUUUCCAUGAUUUAGUGACCGUUGUGGGACACUCAGAUAUGAGACCUUGGAAGUGAUGAGUCUUCACAGCCCAACUUGAUUAGGGAAAAUGCCAGCAGCUGCUCUGCCCUCAGAAUCAAGGAUCCUUUCUGCAAACCCUCAUUUCUCUGGUUUCCACAGCUAUUAAAUAAAGAGCAAUACCCACAUCUGCGUGGAGCCAUGAUCAUAUUUAUGAAGCAUCUUGCUUCCAUCCAGUGAGGAAUUCCCAUUGAAUCGAAUACUUGAAUGCUCACACAUCAGGAUGAUGAGACCUCUGGAAAAGCACAUGAUGAUUCCGAAAGUGCUGGGGGUAGUGGUGGCCCUGCAGACCAGGUUCAGAGAAGUCUCCUGACAUUGGAGAAAGGCUUGCCUCGCUGACCCCUGCUAGAAGAGCUUUCACAUGUAUCACCACUGAGCACAACUGCAAAGCAUUUGGGAGAGUAGUAGAUAUUGCUCUGAGUGGACCAGGUGGUGGCCAGAGCCCAAACAGACAAGCAGCAUCCCUUCUCCCUUUAGCUUCAGCCUUGAGGCAACAUAGCCCUGCCCUGAAGGAACUGAGGGUGAUGUGAGCUUCUUCAAGGGCCAGGGGAAGGAUGCUGUGCUCAACACUGCUGUGACUGUUCCUUUUCUUUGCACUCCCUGUUUCCUGCCCAGUGUCAGUUACGAGAGGUACUAUUUGGUCCUCGUGUGAAGACUGAGAAAAUUGUUAGUUAUAUGAUAUGGGAAUUAAGAAAAUCUGUCUGCUUCCAAGCAUAAACCAAUGACUGUGACAAUGAUUUGCAAACACAGGGUUAUGACCCCAAGUUGGCUUUUUUUUUUUCCUCAUUACUGGGUACAGUCACGAGACUGGCAGGAAUCUGUGUAAGCUACAAUGUGUGGCAAUGACUGGCGUCUCCCUGAGUCUUGGAGCUGAGUGGGUUCACAACAGGAAAAAGUUUGGGAAAGUGCCACUGAGAGUUUAGGAAUAAACAACUCCCAUGGGCAGGCUGUCCAUAAUUGGCCAUGACAAGGCUUCUUUCUCCAGAGAGA